CUAUGGCAUGCUAAGUAAUCUAAAGUUCCCAUAGGUUUAUAUUCCAAAUUUGUAAAGACAAGCACCCUAGUUAUUCUGAGGUUUUCUUUAUCCAGGCUAAAGAAGAUCUUCAGCAGAUGCUCCAGGGAGUAUACUUGAGCAACACUCCUGGUCAUCCUGCCUGCAGCAGAUGGCAAAACAUUCUCCAGGAAGAUGUGUCAAUUUUGUCCUGUGGCUUUCUGUAUCCUAACUGGAGAAACACUGCACUGGAAUAAAGCAGAGGCUAUUCCUCUCAUCUAGGAGCCAGGCUGGUUUGCUCACUGUCUCAGAGAAGAGAUACCAUGAGAGAAAACAGAGAAAACAGGAGUCUUUUGGUGCCUUUUGGGUUUGAAAAACUUAGUAGGGAGGGUACUGGAAAUGCCUCAAGACAUGAUGAGGAAGAGCGAGCUUUCCUCAUUUCUGGACCAGAAAAAAGUUGACCACACUUGGGGAAGAUAAAAGGCAGAGGCAGGGGGUGACAAGUUAGGCAUUGGCCAGUUCCUGCACCCUGUUCCAUGAGGUGAGCCUAGAGAAGACGGAAAAAAAAGAGAAAAGUUUAUGGUAUCCAGAGUAUCCCAAUGUUGGAAAGAACCUAGGAGGGGCAAGAUUCUGGGUAAGAUUAACGAACUGGUGUGUUCAGAAAGUAAGACCAGAAACUGUCUUAAGGAGUUUUCUCUGCUCCCAUGUGAUGCAAGAACAGAACAAUUAUCAAGAUAGGCAUGCAGAUAGCAGAAAGCAUUUUUGGGCUUGAUGUCUUACAGACAAGAACUCAGGAUAUCCCAUUAGUGAUCUGUGAUGACCAGGAAUCAGAUGAGACAACGGACACCACAUUGGAUAUCAGCAGGAUGAAGAUAUAAAGUGCCAUAUGGACAUUCUCCUUUUGUACAGGAUAAGCCCUGAGGAAAUUAUUCUGGGUGUCCCAGCUGGUAGUUUAAGUUCUGUCACUCUGUUCCCCUCUGGUGGAAUGAAAACUAAAAUUACAUAUUAAGUUGCUACAGAAGAAUAAGGAUUCUGUAUCUUCUAUAUUUGUAUAUUUGAGUUGUGGUUGAAAUGUGUACACAUUACAUGCCAUAAAAUGCUUGGGUAUAUGAUGAAUUCUAAAUAUUUUAUCUGUCAAUCAAUAACUAUUAAAAUUGUUAUGUUACACAAACCCUCUGGAGUAUAGAUGGGAGGUCUGCAAACUAUGGCAGAUCAAAUCUGACUUACCCUCUGUUUAUACAAAUAAAGUUUUAUUGGAAUACAGUCAUGCUCAUUGUGUUUUCACAUCGUCUAUGACUGCUUUCGAGCUAUAGCAGAGCUGAGUAGUUGCAAUAGAGAUCCAAUGGCCCUCAAAACCUAAAAUAUUUAC